UGCUCCUUGGAUCAGUGGCGAACGGGUGAGUAACACGUGAGUAACCUGCCCCAAACUCUGGGAUAAGCACUGGAAACGGUGUCUAAUACCGGAUACGAGCUUCAGCCGCAUGGCUAGGAGUUGGAAAGAAUUUCGGUUUGGGAUGGACUCGCGGCCUAUCAGCUAGUUGGUGAGGUAAUGGCUCACCAAGGCGACGACGGGUAGCCGGCCUGAGAGGGUGACCGGCCACACUGGGACUGAGACACGGCCCAGACUCCUACGGGAGGCAGCAGUGGGGAAUAUUGCACAAUGGGCGCAAGCCUGAUGCAGCAACGCCGCGUGAGGGACGACGGCCUUCGGGUUGUAAACCUCUUUUAGUAGGGAAGAAGCGAAAGUGACGGUACCUGCAGAAAAAGCACCGGCUAACUACGUGCCAGCAGCCGCGGUAAUACGUAGGGUGCAAGCGUUGUCCGGAAUUAUUGGGCGUAAAGAGCUCGUAGGCGGUUUGUCGCGUCUGCUGUGAAAACCCGAGGCUCAACCUCGGGCCUGCAGUGGGUACGGGCAGACUAGAGUGCGGUAGGGGAGAUUGGAAUUCCUGGUGUAGCGGUGGAAUGCGCAGAUAUCAGGAGGAACACCAAUGGCGAAGGCAGAUCUCUGGGCCGUAACUGACGCUGAGGAGCGAAAGCAUGGGGAGCGAACAGGAUUAGAUACCCUGGUAGUCCAUGCCGUAAACGUUGGGAACUAGAUGUGGGGACCAUUCCACGGUCUCCGUGUCGCAGCU
rnacentral:rRNA from 1 species